rnacentral:antisense_RNA from 1 species
GGAGAAUCUAAGACUUCUGAAGAGUUUCUUGCUUCUUUCCUGUGGGGCAGUGACUCCACUUCCCAGCAGUAAUGGAAUAUCCUGAAUUAGCUACAUUAAUGUUAGAACCAUUUGGACCUCACCCAGGACUUCAACUACAUUAUGGUUCUAGUAUGUUAGGUUUAUGUUCCCCUGCUUUCUACAAUCCUGUUCAAAGAGUUGCUGACUUAACCACAGAGAGGAUUCCAGAACAUGAGACACAGAAUAAACUUGAGCAAUCAUAGUCCAUCCACUUCAUUUUCUCAUCAAAAACCAAAGGUCCAGUGAAGCUCUGGAACUCAACGCUGUAAAGGAGCGAAGGAGCUUCUAUACAGAGCCUGGAUGCCUGUCUCCUUAUCCUACUUCAGUGGACUUGACUGCAAUCCGGACUAUGCUGUUUUCUAAGCAUUUAAAAUAAAAUAAAAAGUGUAA